rnacentral:tRNA from 1 species
AGCUCAGUUGGUAGAGCAGAGGACUGAAA